rnacentral:rRNA from 1 species
UACAGAGGUCUCAAGCGUUGUUCGGAUUCAUUGGGCGUAAAGGGCGCGUAGGCGGACCAUCAAGUCGGGGGUGAAAUCUUUCAGCCCAACUGGAAAAGGGCUUCCGAUACUGGUGGUCUCGAGGGAGGUAGGGGUCGAGGGAACUGGUGGUGGAGCGGUGAAAUGCGUAGAUAUCACUAGGAACGCCGGUGGCGAAAGCGCUCGACUGGACCUCUUCUGACGCUGAGGCGCGAAAGCCAGGGGAGCAAACGGGG